rnacentral:rRNA from 1 species
GAUGAACGCUGGCGGCGUGCCUAAUACAUGCAAGUCGAGCGAACGGACGAGACGCUUGCUUCUCUGAUGUUAGCGGCGGACGGGUGAGUAACACGUGGAUAACCUACCUAUAAGACUGGGAUAACUUCGGGAAACCGGAGCUAAUACCGGAUAAUAUUUUGAACCGCAUGGUUCAAAAGUGAAAGACGGUCUUGCUGUCACUUAUAGAUGGAUCUGGGCUGCAUUAGCUAGUUGGUAAGGUAACGGCUUACCAAGGCAACGAUGCAUAGCCGACCUGAGAGGGUGAUCGGCCACACUGGAACUGAGACACGGACCAGACUCCUACGGGAGGCAGCAGUAUGGAAUCUUCCGCAAUGGUCGAAAGCCUUACGGAGCAACGCGGCGUGAGUGAUGAAGGUCUUCGGAGCGUAAAACUCUGUUAUUAGUGAAGAACAUAUGUGUAAGUAACUGUGCACAUCGUGACGGUACCUAAUCAGAAAGCCACGGCUAACUACGUG